CCCUAUGGGGUGCAGCAGGACCACAUGAUCGCCGCAUGCCAGCCCAAGAUACGCUCCCUCCAUGAACCGAAGAAAUUCGAAUAUGCCGGUGCGGCGGGUGGAUUUAUCGACAAAUACGGCUAUCCAUUUUGCCGGGGGAGGGUCUUCCAGUCCAUUGAGGAGGAUCACGGUCAAUAUGACGACGCCUGCGAGAGCUUCUGGGCCACGGGGGCCUGCAUGUUCGUAAAGGCGGACAUUUUCCACCGGUUCGGCGGUCUGGACGAGGAUUUCUUCGCCCACAUGGAAGAGAUCGAUUUCUGCUGGCGGCUGAAAAACAAUGGUUACAAGAUCAUGUAUUGCCCCGACUCCACGGUCUUUCAUAUCGGCGGGAGGGC
rnacentral:rRNA from 1 species